CCGUGGUGAUGUGUAGUGGACGGGGGAAAUUAAUUUGGAUGGUGGAGCUAGUUCUCUUAGGCUAGUAAAAUCAUUCGGAAGUCAUCAAUCUUUCUUGUCUCCUUUUUUUCUUCCUCUUUUCUGUUUUCUUUUUUUUCUAUUUUUGUUGUUGUUUUCUUUUCUUCAAGAAUAGCUGACAAAUCAGCCCCUUAUCGAUUCCAUUGUCGUAUCACCUGAUUCAGUUGUUCCACUUCAUUUAGUUU
rnacentral:lncRNA from 1 species